rnacentral:rRNA from 1 species
AGAGUUUGAUCCUGGCUCAGAACGAACGCUGGCGGCGUGGAUAAGACAUGCAAGUCGAACGCUAAUGAGGUGGUAGCAAUAUCACCUGGUUGGAGUGGCGCAAGGGUGCGUAACACGUGGGUAAUCUGCCGUGAAGCCUGGGAUAACUCGCUGAAAGGCGAGCUAAUACCGGAUGAGAUGGUUGGGGAGCAUUUUCCGGCCAUGAAAGCUGGGGACCGAAAGGCCUGGCCCUUCACGAUGAGCCCGCGGCCUAUCAGCUAGUUGGUGAGGUAACGGCUCACCAAGGCUAAGACGGGUAGCUGGUCUGAGAGGACGACCAGCCACACUGGAACUGAGACACGGUCCAGACACCUACGGGUGGCAGCAGUCGAGAAUUUUUCACAAUGGGCGCAAGCCUGAUGGAGCGACGCCGCGUGGGGGAUGAAGGGUUUCGAUCCGUAAACCCCUGUCAUUUGCGAACAAACCUUAUUCAAUAACACUGGAUGAGCUGAUUGUAGCGGAAGAGGAAGGGACGGCUAACUCUGUGCCAGCAGCCGCGGUAAUACAGAGGUCCCAAGCGUUGCUCGGAUUCACUGGGCGUAAAGGGUGCGUAGGUGGCUGGGAAAGUUCGAUGUGAAAGCUCGGAGCUCAACUCCGAAAUGGCAUUGAAUACUAUCCGGCUGGAGGGUCGGAGGGGAGACUGGAAUUCUCGGUGUAGCAGUGAAAUGCGUAGAUAUCGAGAGGAACACCAGUGGCGAAGGCGAGUCUCUGGGACGACACCUGACACUGAUGCACGAAAGCUAGGGGAGCAAACAGGAUUAGAUACCCNNNNAGUCC